AGCUAUACAUCGAUUUGAUUAGUAGCCAAUUACUUGUUCUUCCUCCAAGUAAUGUACAUUUCUGAUUACUUAUUUGAUUAAUAAUGGCUGAUAACCUAGCUAGUCGUACUCUUCUGAAACAUCGAAUGCUCGAUAUCGUCCCUGACAACCGUGAGUCGAGGAAAUGUCUGGUUGCGACAACCAAUCAUAUCGCCGUCUGCCACCAAGAAGUAACCAAGAAUUGCACUCCCCGACAAAUCCGAGACACCAGUGCAACCAAUAGGUAACCAAUAUUGACCAAUAAGGAUAGAGCUAUGGCGGGAUCUUUAAACGCAGAAAGAGUGCCAUGGAAAAUAUAUUUCAUCUCAGAGACGUAUGCCUUCCCAAGGGAUGGCAACACAUUUUGCCCGAUGUGGACCGUAAGUGGGUGUCCAAGGCAUUGUUCAGGUGGUCGAGGAAUGGGAUUCCAGAGAUGGACUUUGCCAGGGUUGACAAAAUGUGGUGGGACCCUCCACCACCCCUCGUCUGCAGCUCAGUACUGGUGAUGGAGAAGUACUUUGCCCGUCCUCUGCUGCGAUGGAUGCCCAGGAAGCUCUGGCAGGUGAAGCUAUAUUGCCCAAAUUCUGACUGUGAGAGGGGGGAGCUGACCAAAUACUAAUUGAGUGUAUGUAAACUUCUGACCCACUGGGAAUGUGAUGAAUGAAAUAAAAUCUGAAUAAUUCUCUCUACUAUUAUUCGGACAUUUCACAUUUAAAAAAAAUAAAGUGGUGAUCCUAACUGACCUAAGACAGGGAAUUUUCACUAGGAUUGAAUGUCAGGAAUUGUGAACACAGAGUUUAGGUGUAUUUGGCUAUGGUGUAUGUAAACUUCUGACUUCAACUGUAUCAGUUGAAACAUCUUUCCUACCCUACUGGCUACCGAUAUCAUUCUUCUGUGAGCUGCUCCAUGUCAAAACCAGUUGAGAGCUGAACACUCUUGCUACCUGCAGAUGAUAUUCCUCUGAAACUAGGCUGUGUGCAAUGCGCAUGUGAAUAUAUUUCACAGGCUUUGCGAUUGUGUAGGCUGCUUUUUACAUGAUUUCUCCAUUGUACUACAUAACUGAUAAGUCAUAUACCUCCACUACACUACACUGAUACGCAUCAGUAGGUAUUAAGAAGUGAGUAUACCUGCGUGCUUAUACCUGCGUAUACCCCCCACUACACCACUGGCUCUUUUGUGUUUUACAAAACAUCAACAUGAGUAAGCUGGUAUUACGAUUGCUGUCCUUUCAGAAUCACGAACUUGUCACACACUGAAGGCCUAUAGGUUUGCCACUGGGCAAACAUGUCUAUAAUACAGUGCCUUGCGAAAGUAUUCGGCCCCCUUGAACUUUGCGACUGAAAACUGCUGUUCACAAAUGCUCUCCAUCCAACCUCACUGAGCUCGAGCUGUUUUGCAAGGAGGAAUGGGAAAAAAUUCCAGUCUCUCGAUGUGCAAAACUGAUAGAGACAUACCCCAAGCGACUUACAGCUGUAAUCGCAGCAAAAGGUGGCGCUACAAAGUAUUAACUUAAGGGGGCUGAAUAAUUUUGCACGCCCAAUUUUUCAGUUUUUGAUUUGUUAAAAAAGUUUGAAAUAUCCAAUAAAUGUCAUUCCACUUCAUGAUUGUGUCCCACUUGUUGUUGAUUCUUCACAAAAAAAUGCAGUUUUAUAUCUUUAUGUUUGAAGCCUGAAAUGUGGCAAAAGGUCGCAAAGUUCAAGGGGGCCGAAUAAUUUCGCAAGGCACUGUAUAUAUACAGGCAUUUAUGCGCUGAAUGAAUGGAGGGCUGGUAAUUAUUUGUUUUCUACUC
rnacentral:lncRNA from 13 species